CCACGCACAGUCACACACACUGCAUUAUAUUCUCAGUUCAUGUUCAGUGGGGUUUAGAAGAUUUCCAUUAAAGGAGUCAGGAUCACAGCUAGCAUGUGGGUGGUACUUGUGAACUCCAGCAUAGCGCCGACAGCUGUCACUUCAGUCUGAGUGUGCCUUUAUAUAUAAAUCUGGGUCCAUUUUUUGGGGGGGUUUAAUAUGAUUGGUGAGUCAUCUCAAGUGUCAUGGGUUUAUUACGACACAAGUCUUAUUUGAAUUGUUUUAUGAUUGCUUCCAUCGGUUAUGAUAAGAUUGUAAGCAACAAGGCAUCAAAUACAUCACUUGCUGUUUCCGAAAGUAGACAAAGAAAAGUUUUGAACUAAAAAUACUGUAUUGGCCCGAAUAUAAGACAGAUUAGUCCUGUUGGGGAAAGUAUGUACAGAGAUUUAAAUUUAUCUCCCCGGUGGCAGCAAAACCAGUUCCACAAACACUUCUAUAAAGCUGAAUAACUCCACAAACAACCCCUGAUGGGUCUUUCCUUUCUAGAAACGUAUUCUGCCCAUUACGGUACCUCGCCUCUGUCCACAUGUUAGACUGCUAAAUGUUCACAUCUCUUAUUCUGUUCAGGGCACAUCUCAGCUCAGCUGUUUGUAAUCUAUGUUGACAUAACAUUUAAGCUCUUCUAUUGAGACAGCCAAUUAAAUGUUCCUUUUUCUUGAAAAUUUAGGAGGAGAGAGGGAGAAAAAACUCCAUUAAAUUCUAGUAAGCGAGUGUUGUUGCCGUCGCUGUGAUAACGAAGUGUGUUUAUUUUUAGGUGGUAGACAGCUGGCUGAUCUUAUCAGUGUCACUUUUCCAUUCUAUCUACAAGCAUCACGCCGAAGCGGAAAGCUCUUAAUCAUUCCUUUUGGUUUCCAAAAUCUGUCCCCAUUUUCUAACAAUCUUCCUUUUCUGUUUUCCCUUUUUCCUUCUCUCGGCCCCUCUUCUCUAUUAAUUUAUACCGUCCUGUCUUUCAUUAAUCCUUUUCUCUCCUCAUUUGUUUCUUGAAACCCAUUCUUCCUUUUCUUCUUUUUUUUUCCUCCUUCCAUCCUCUCUGCCUUCUCUCUCUCUCUCUCUCUCUCUCUCUCUCUCUCUCUCUCUCUCUCUCUCUCUCUCUC